AAUUGGUUCACGAUUCAUGUGAUGAAAAGGGAAUCGGGUGAGAAUCCCGAGCAGUCCCGCUGCUGUGAGUCGUCCUUCCAUGCGCCAACAUCAAGCCACUGGCCCUACUGCCGGGAAGGCGUUGGCACACGACGACAAGCCAGAAGACCUACCGUUGCGUA
rnacentral:ncRNA from 1 species